AUUCUCUUCUCUGUUCACAGAUGAUCACAGCCCUUUUCUCCCCCCUUUGAGCUGCAGACGCACAUGUAGUUUCAAAUAUUAGCUAAGACUCCAGCCUCCGCCAGCCCCUAAUUGCUCUCUCAGGGAAGGUAUCAUAAACGCAGGUAUGGAUGACACAGAUGUAGCUUCAACUUUAUGCAGGCAGGAAUCCUACAUCAAAGCUAUUUGCAAAGUGACACAACUAGUUAUUAAAAAGUACAUUUUUAUUAUAUUCCUUAGAAUUUGCAUUCUUCAGAAACCACGUGUGUUUUUGACGGUGGCCACGGAAAUGUGGGGGUAAUUGACCGUUAGUGGCAUCUGCAGCCUAAAUAUUUUGCAAGCCAGUUUAAUACAUACAAGCGCUCCUGUCAAUAAAGGUAAACCCGAUGAUUUAAAUAAGUUAAUAUUAGUACAUCUCUCCCCCUGGCUGCUGUGAGCCAUCUGACUGCUGUCGUUUAAAGAAAAAAAAAAUGGCCAAGACACUGUGAGUUUAUCUGGUCCUACCUGCAUUUGUGCUCCUGAUUCUCCUGAAAUAAAUGGGAAAGAAAAACUUACUGACUUUUGGCAAACUACAAAGGUUAACUCUAUUCAUCAUGGAGGAAUGGAUGCUAAGUGCUUUCUGUCCGUCCAUAUAUUUUAAAGAUUUAGAAGGCACCUGGUGGUGUUCUCGGGGUAAAGACAGGCGUGUUGGUCUUCGGCAUAUGCAGAGUAUCUCUCGCAGUUUUCUCUUUGUAUUGCCCGUACUACUGAGGUCCUUUUUGGAUUACAGAGUUUUGGAAACAAGGUUAUUUUGCAAUGAUAUAAAAAGCCAAAGCUUUCCCUCCCUUGGAUCCUCUUGGAGUCCUUUAAGGACGUUUCAGGAGGAACCAUUCCGGUACCAAUUGGACAUGUGCUCUGUGAUAGCUGGGCUGAUGGCAGGCUUUGAGGAGAGAAGAAAAUCCCUUUAAAAUAUGGACUCCUCGGGUCCCAAAAAGGUGAAACGGUGGGGGGAAAUGCCAUCUAUACACAUUUCAUCUACGAAUCCUGACUUGCUGUUGAUUUUAACAUAUGGAAACGCCAGCAAUAUUGACUGAGGCUUUUCUCUGCGUGUCCCUCCGAAGAGACAAAGGUGGCUGAGAAGGGGAGAGUGCACCGUUUUCACACCUGGCUCUGCUUAGCUGCACACAGGAAGAAAGGGCAGAGGCUGCAUCCAUCCCACCGGAGGCUUGAAUGGUUAGGAAAGAGUUAAAUUUUUAGAAAAGAUUACCUGAUCCUGAAGAACCUGCGAUUUUUGCCAUAGAAAUAGAUCUCACUUCUACCAAAAGGACCUUCUGCAGGAGGACUUGGAAUCCCCCCC
rnacentral:lncRNA from 12 species